AGUUUGAUCCUGGCUCAGAACGAACGCUGGCGGCGUGCCUAACACAUGCAAGUCGAACGGAGUUGAGGGGCUUGCUCCUCAAUUUAGUGGCGCACGGGUGAGUAACGCGUAGAUAAUCUGCCUGAUGAUCUGGGAUAACACUUCGAAAGGGGUGCUAAUACCGGAUAAGCCCACGAUGGCCUUGGUCGUUGCGGGAAAAGGGGGGGACUUUCGGGCCUUCUGUCAUCAGAUGAGUCUGCGUACCAUUAGCUAGUUGGUGGGGUAAGAGCCUACCAAGGCGACGAUGGUUAGCUGGUCUGAGAGGAUGAUCAGCCACACUGGAACUGAGACACGGUCCAGACUCCUACGGGAGGCAGCAGUGGGGAAUUUCGCGCAAUGGGCGAAAGCCAGACGCAGCAACGCCGCGUGAGUGAUGAAGGCUUUCGGGUCGUAAAGCUCUGUCAAGGGGAAAGAAGUGUAUUGCGGUUAAUACCCGUGAUACUUGACGGUACCCCCAAAGGAAGCACCGGCUAACUCCGUGCCAGCAGCCGCGGUAAUACGGGGGGGUGCGAGCGUUGUUCGGAAUUAUUGGGCGUAAAGCGCGUGUAG
rnacentral:rRNA from 1 species